rnacentral:lncRNA from 1 species
AUGGAGUCUCGCUGUCGACCAGGCUAGAGGGCAGUGGCACGAUCCCGGCUGACUACAACCUGUACCUCUCAGGUUCAAGCAAUUCUCCUGCCUCAGCCUCUGGAGUAGCUGGAAUUACAGGAACACACCACCAGGCCCGGCUACUUUUUUCCUAGGUAGAUGGGACUACAUGUGAAUAUUAACCCAUGCACAGACAAGAAGAAAAUUCCAUUUUGGAUGCUCCCACUGGGACUGUGUGCCUAUACUGGAACUCAAGUGAACACUUGGCUCAAAAUCCAUUGCUGUUCUCUAGAAAUCCAGCCCAAUUCUCUUGGUUAAAUAUAAGGCUGGAAUGCAAUGGCACAAUCUUGACUCACUGCAACCUCCACCUCCCAGGUUCAAGCGAUUCUCCUGCCUCAGCAGCCCGAGUAGCUGGGAUUACAGAUUCCACUUUGGAUGCUCCUGUCGGGACUGUGUGUCCCUGUGCUGGAACUCAAGUGAGAGUUGGCUGAAAAUCCAUUGCUGUUCUCUAGAAAUCCAGCCCAAGUCUCUUGGUUAGAGAUAAGGCGGAGUUUCGCUCUUGUUGCCCAGGCUGGAGGGCAAUAGCGCGAUCUCGGCUCACCGCAACCUCGGCCUCCCGGGUUCAAGUGAUUCUCCUGCCUCAGCCUCCCAGAUAGCUGGAAUUACAGAUUCCAUUUUGGAUGCUUCCAUCGGGACUGUGUGCCCCUGUCCUGGAACUCAGCUGAACACUUGGCUCAAAAUCCAUUGCUGUUCUCUGGAAAUUCUGCCCUAAUCUCUUGGUUAAAUAUAAGAAGGCGGAGCCAGGUGUGCAGAGCGGAACGUGAAAGUGGACCAGGAGCGUGACCGCUGAAGCACAGCAUCACAGGGAGACGUUUAGGCCACCAGACGGCUGCGGGCGGGCUUGACUGAUGUCAGGCUUUCCACAAGAGGUGGUGGAGCAGAGUCUUCUCUAACUCCCCUGGAGAAAGGGAGACUCCCUCUCCGGGUUUGGGAAGAGACAAAACUCAGGAGGAUUGUGCUAUGAUAAACAAGGCUAACCUGCUGAUUCUCUGAAGCAAGGAACUGGAGAUGGUCCUUCUAAGGGUUUAUAUUCUGGAUUCCAGGAAACAUGCAAACAGGACCCAUAAAUGCAUCUUUAUUUUGGUGCCCAUUUUGACCUGGUCAGGAGAAUUCCAACAAAAAAUCCACGGUGUUGGAGCAAGAUCUCAGGCUCUCAGGCUGUGGCCAUCUAGAGAUUCCAUUUUGGAUGCUCCCAUCGGGACUGUGUGUCCCUGUGCUGGAACUCGAGUGAACACUUGGCUCAAAAUCCAUUGCUGUUCUCUAGAAAUCCUGCCCUAUUCUCUUGGUGAAAUAUAAGAUUCCAUUUUGGAUGCCCUCAUUGGGACUGUGUGUCCCUGUACUGGAACUCAAGUGAACACUUGGCUCAAAAUCCAUUGCUGUUCUCUAGAAAUCCAGCCUAAUUCUCUUGGUUAAAGACGGUGUUUCCCUCUUGUUGCCCAGGCUGGAGUGCAAUGGCAUGAUCUCGGAUCACUGCAACCUCCACCUCCCUGGUUCAAGCGAUUCUCCUGCCUCAGCCUCCCGAGCAGCUGGGAUUACAGGCAUGCAUCACCACGCCCGGCUAAUUCUUUGUAUUUUUAGUAGAGAUGGGAUUUCUCCAUGUUGGUCAGGCUGAUCUUGAACUCCCAACCUUAGGUGAUCCACCCACCUCGGCCUCCCAAAGUGCUGGGAUUACAGGCAUGAGCCAUUGUGCCCGGCCCAUUUCAUUUAUUUUUAUGUGUGCUGCUGAAGCAAGCACUUAUGUGUAGGAAUUGUUCUUCCUGUGAGCAUAUGUUGGCCAGCCUGGACCACAUACCAAGAUCCCAUCUCUUUAAAAACACAGAUUACGUGGCACCUGGCACCUGGUCCCAGAGACUUCAUUUGGGUUGGUCAUUUGAAACACUAGCCUCCCAUCAAUUUAGUGUAAUCAAUCCAAAUCAUGUGUCCUUCAUUAAGAGACUAAGAACGCCUCCACGUCUAUCCAGUCUAUUUUGUAAUCCCCAACGGUUGUCAAUAUUAAUAAAAUUUCUUUUCUUUUUCCUA